rnacentral:rRNA from 1 species
UGGGGAAUCUUGCACAAUGGGCGAAAGCCUGAUGCAGCGACGCCGCGUGCGGGAUGAAGGCCUUCGGGUUGUAAACCGCUUUCAGCAGGGACGAGGCCGCAAGGUGACGGUACCUGCAGAAGAAGCCUCGUCUAACUACGUGCCAGCAGCCGCGGUAAUACGUAGGGGGCAAGCGUUAUCCGGAUUCAUUGUGCGUAAAGCGCGCGUAGGCAGUUUGUUAGGUCAGGAGUUAAAUCUGGGGGCUCAACCCCUAUCCGCUCCUGAUACCGGCAGGCUUGAGUCUGGUAGGGGAAGGCGGAAUUCCAAGUGUGGCGGUGAAAUGCGCAGAUAUUUGGAAGAACACCGGUGGCGAAGGCGGCCUUCUGGGCCACGACUGACGCUGAGGCGCGAAAGCUAGGGGAGCGAACAGG